rnacentral:rRNA from 1 species
AUGGCGCUAACAAAAGUUGCUCUCUUCCUUGCCCUCAACCUUGGUCUCAUUUCUAUUGUGCAUGGUAACCCUCCAAUGGUUCCUACACCACCUUUGGUGCCUACCCCACCUAUUGCACCGACACCAUCGAAUGGUGGUUCCUGCCCAAUCAACCCACUAAAGAUAACUGUGUGCAGCAAUGUAUUGUUGCUACUCAAGCUCCGGAUCAACGUGCCGGAGACCGAACAAUGUUGCCCACUGCUUAGUGGGUUGGCUGAUCUAGAUGCCGCUGUCUGUGUUUGCACUGCCAUCAAGGCCAACCUCCUUGGCCUCAUCGACAUCGACAUUCCCGUCGACCUGACCCUCCUACUCAACCAUUGUAACAAGACAUAUCCCUCUAGUUUCACCUGCUCGCCAUGA